rnacentral:rRNA from 1 species
GGGGGAUAUUGCACAAUGGGGGAAACCCUGAUGCAGCGACGCCGCGUGGAGGAAGAAGGUUUUCGGAUCGUAAACUCCUGUCCUUGGAGACGAGUAGAAGACGGUAUCCAAGGAGGAAGCCCCGGCUAACUACGUGCCAGCAGCCGCGGUAAUACGUAGGGGGCAAGCGUUGUCCGGAAUAAUUGGGCGUAAAGGGCGCGUAGGUGGCUCGGUAAGUCUGGAGUGAAAGUCCUGCUUUUAAGGUGGGAAUUGCUUUGGAUACUGUCGGGCUUGAGUGCAGGAGAGGUUAGUGGAAUUCCCAGUGUAGCGGUGAAAUGCGUAGAGAUUAGGAGGAACACCAGUGGCGAAGGCGACCUACUGGGCACCAACUGACGCUGAGGCUCGAAAGCAUGGGUAGCAAACAGGAUUAGAUACCCUGGUAGUCCAUGCCGUAAACGAUGAUUACUAGGUGUUGGAGGAUUGACCCCUUCAGUGCCGCAGUUAACACAAUAAGUAAUCCACCUGGGGAGUACGACCGCAAGGUUGAAACUCAAAGGAAUUGACGGGGGCCCGCACAAGCAGUGGAGUAUGUGGUUUAAUUCGAAGCAACGCGAAGAACCUUACCAGGUCUUGACAUCCGAUGAAUAGCUUAGAGAUAAGUGAAGUCCUUCGGAACAUCGGAGACAGGUGGUGCAUGGUUGUCGUCAGCUCGUGUCGUGAGAUGUUGGGUUAAGUCCCGCAACGAGCGCAACCCUUAUCUUUAGUAGCCAGCGGUCCGGCCGGGCACUCUAGAGAGACUGCCAGGGAUAACCUGGAGGAAGGCGGGGAUGACGUCAAAUCAUCAUGCCCCUUAUGACUUGGGCUACACACGUGCUACAAUGGCGUAAACAAAGGGAAGCGAAGCUGUGAAGCCGAGCAAAUCUCAAAAAUAACGUCUCAGUUCGGACUGUAGUCUGCAACCCGACUACACGAAGCUGGAAUCGCUAGUAAUCGCAGAUCAGAAUGCUGCGGUGAAUACGUUCCCG